GACGAACGCUGGCGGCGCGCCUAACACAUGCAAGUCGAACGAGCGAGAGAGAGCUUGCUUUCUCGAGCGAGUGGCGAACGGGUGAGUAACGCGUGAGGAACCUGCCUCAAAGAGGGGGACAACAGUUGGAAACGACUGCUAAUACCGCAUAAGCCCACGACCCGGCAUCGGGUAGAGGGAAAAGGAGCAAUCCGCUUUGAGAUGGCCUCGCGUCCGAUUAGCUAGUUGGUGAGGUAACGGCCCACCAAGGCGACGAUCGGUAGCCGGACUGAGAGGUUGAACGGCCACAUUGGGACUGAGACACGGCCCAGACUCCUACGGGAAGCAGCAGUGGGGAAUAUUGCACAAUGGGGGAAACCCUGAUGCAGCGACGCCGCGUGGAGGAAGAAGGUCUUCGGAUUGUAAACUCCUGUUGUGGAGGAAGAUAAUGACGGUACUCAACAAGGAAGUGACGGCUAACUACGUG
rnacentral:rRNA from 1 species